rnacentral:tRNA from 1 species
AACGGUGCAGGAGUUUUGUCGUCGGGCUUAUAGCCCGAAGGUCGCAGGUUCAAAUCCUGCCCCCGCUACGA